UCGGAAAGGUACUACACGACCAGCUCCCUUCCAAUCCCCCAGGGCUUGACCGCAGCAAGGGUACGUUGGUUGAGCGGUGCGAUGUAGAGCGCCUUUCC
rnacentral:SRP_RNA from 1 species